ncrna:Salinispora tropica CNB-440 ZMP/ZTP riboswitch
CCCUCGGGCCGUGACUGGCGCGAUCUGGGAUGGAGCACCAUCGGGGAACGGCCCAUCACGAGGACGCACGCCGAGCGCCUGGGCCUCCACA